rnacentral:rRNA from 1 species
CCCUUAGAUGUCCUGGGCCGCACGCGCGUUACACUGAUGCAUUCAACGAGCUUAUAACCUUGGCCGAGAGGCCUGGGCAAUCUUGUUAACGUGCAUCGUGAUAGGGAUAGAUUAUUGAAAUUAUUAAUCUUGAACGAGGAAUUCCUAGUAAACGCAGAUCAUCAAUCUGCAUUGAUUACGUCCCUGCCCUUUGUCCACACCGCCCGUCGCACCUACCGAUUGGAUGGUCCGGUGAAGCCUCGGGAUUGUGGUUCUUGCCGCUUUAUUGUGGCGUGACCGCGAGAACUUGUCUAAACCUUAUCAUCUAGAGGAAGGUGAAGUCGUAACA